GGGAAAGGGACUAGGUUUACAGCCAAUUUGCGCAAGUCGGAGUUCAAUUGACCGGGGAAACGGAGACAACAAGUGACACCACUCAUGGUCGCCGAGAUGAGAUGAUUUAAAUCACCAACUGUCACAACGAAACCACUGAGUUCGGAAACAAAUGUCAUAGAGCGCUUCAUUGUCCAGACACAUGCAUUCAUCGGCGUUUUCCACGAGCUGAUGCACGGAGAGGGUGGCAUUGUAAGGCUCCACAACAGUAUCCGACACCUUCGGCGACGGCACAAUGCUGAAGGUUACCAUCAUUCGAUCAGGAUACUCCUCCCUAAUCUUGGAUAUCAACAAAGUGCCCAUUCCAGACCCUGUGCCGCCUCCCAUUGAAUGACAUACUUGAAAACCUGUCUUCACCAAGGAUGGAACAAUUUAAGCCGAAGCUAAACCUCUCACACACUGCAAAGCUGUUCGACUGCAGAAACCAACACCUCCAAAGGACUCGACAGGUGGCUUGGGAGAGCAAGAAUAUCUUCCAAACGCGGUACCAUAUUCAAGACAUGCAACACCCUUUGAGAUUCAGAGGCUGACGGAGUCGACCUUGCAAGCAAUCACAGCUUUCUGCUUCUUUACGAACUACGUCCAGAACGGAGUCGAUGAGUUCUGCACCCUCGGUGUAAUGUCCUUUCGCCCAGUUAUUCCCGGCGCCUGUCUGUCCGAACACGAAAUUGUCAGGUCUGAAUAUCUGGCCAUAUGGGCCAGACCGAACACUGUCCAUGGUGCCGGGCUCCAGAUCCAUCAGCACAGCUCGGGGGACGUAACGGCCUCCACUUGCUUCGUUGAAGUAAACGUUGACCCGUUCGAGUUGUAAGUCGGAGUCUCCAUGAUAAGUUCCAGUUGGGUCAAUCCCAUGUUCGUCACAGAUUACCUACAUAGCAUCCAGAGUUUUGUAGUCAAUGUCAGCCACAAUGUAUCAUGCUUCUCCGGCAACAGGACCCUUUGCAUCAAGCCGGAGCGUCAAGUUUAUUUGUGUGUUAAUUUCAGCAGGUUGAAUGAGGCCUUAUUUCUGAUCACGAAGCCUUCCUGUGUUUAUUCCUGUUGUAAGAGAACUGGAGAAGCAAACACUGCAAAACUUUCUAGUUACCGAGUGAUCGUUCCCUACGGAUCAACCGAUCUGAGUCAAGAUUGUCCACGUCGGUAAUUGACGCAAUAUAUGCUUUGGUUUGUCAAGCUGCGUAAUUAGCAGCAAUAAAUGACACUAACCAAAAAUACUUAUUCCAA